rnacentral:misc_RNA from 1 species
GGAGAGGCGAAGGUGGCCAAGUGAAGACAAGUCAGAAAGUUGACAAUGGAAGACAGCCAGAGGAGGCAGGUGAAUGAGAAGCGCUCUCUCGCUAACACACAUCAGAUCAGAUCAGACAUAAAAAUUAUAAACAAUAAUAAUUCCAAUCUCAUAAUAAUAUAAAUAAUCAUAGAGAUUGAAAUGACUGAUUGAUUUAAUUAUAUAAUCAGACAUGAUUGAUUUUAUUUGCAGAAAUUGAUAUAAUCAUGAUCACACUCAGAGAGAGAGCGAGAGAGAAGGAGAGAUGUUGAAGAAAUGAUUGAUUGGAUUUGCAGAAAUUGAUCCCCACGAGAAGAAGAAGAAGAAGAAGA